rnacentral:rRNA from 1 species
AACGAACGCUGGCGGCGUGCUUAAUACAUGCAAGUCGAACGUGAAGCCCGGGCAACUGGGUGGAAAGUGGCGAACGGGUGAGUAACACGUAAAUAAUCUACCUCUAAGUUUGGGAUAACCUUGCCAACGCGGGGCUAAUACCGGAUGUGGUCAUGAAAACGCAUGUUUUUAUGAUUAAAGAUGUAAAUCGCUUAGAGAUGAGUUUGCGGCCCAUUAUGCUUGUUGGUGAGGUAACGGCUCACCAAGGCUGCGAUGGGUAGCCGGCCUGAGAGGGUGAACGGCCACAUUGGGACUGAGAUACGGCCCAGACACCUACGGGUGGCUG